rnacentral:rRNA from 1 species
AUGGGUGCUUAUGAAAUUGAAGCUAUGUGUAAAGAGUUUGAGGAUUUUGAUGAUGUUGUUUAUAGAUCUGAAAAUUUAGCUAUCCUCAAAUAUUGCUAUGAGAAUUAUAAAUACAAUUAUGAAAUUAAUGCACUUAUUAAGAAAGUCUCCGCUGUCCAAGAAGAGACUAAUAUUUUGCAGGAAGCUAUGGAAGAAGAAAUUGAUGAAACUGUGAGCCCAUUGGAUGAAAAAGAUGAUGAGAAGAGCGAAGAACAAAAGGAGGAAGAGCGGAUUGAUCACCCGUGCCCACCUUCUAAUGAGAGUAACUCUUCAACUCAUACAUUGUUUAAUUCCCCUUCGUGCUUACCGAAGGAUGAUUGCUAUGAUCCCGUUGAUUCUCUUGAAAUAUCCCUUUUUGAUGAUGUUUGCUAUGCUUGUGGCCAAGAUGCCAAUAUGAAUUAUGCUUAUGGAGAUGAAAUUGCUAUAGUUCCUUAUGUUAAACAUGAAAUUGUUGCUAUUGCACCCACGCAUGAUAGUCCUAUUAUCUUUUUGAAUUCUCCCGACUACACUAUAUCGGAGAAGCUUGCACUUAUUAAGGAUUAUAUUGAUGGGUUGCCUUUUACUACUAUACAUGAUGAUUUUGAUGAAUAUAAUAUGCAUGUGCUUGCUGCUCCUACUUGCAAUUAUUAUGAGAGAGGAACUAUAUCUCCACCUCUCUAUGUUUCCCACACGAUAAAAUUGCAAGAAACUGUUUAUACUAUGCAUUGGCCUUUACUAUGUGUGCAUGAAUUGUUCUUUUAUGACAUGCCGAUGCAUAGGAAGAGAGUUAGACUUUGA